CAAUAGCGUAUAUUAAAGUUGUUGCGGUUAAAAAGCUCGUAGUUGGAUUUCUGCCGAGGACGACCGGUCCGUCCUCUGGAUUGUGUACUGAUCGAUCUGUUCUUCUUCGCGAAGACCGCGUGUGCCCUUAACUGGGUGUGCACGGGAUUCACGACGUUUACUUGAAAAAAUUAGAGUGUUCAAAGCAGGCAUUCGCUUGAAUAUCUCAGCAUGGAAUAAUAGAAUAGGACUUUGGUCUUAUUUUGUUGGUUUCCGAGACCGAAGUAAUGAUAAUAGGGACAGUUGGGGGCAUUCGUAUUUCAUUGUCAGAGGUGAAAUUCUUGGAUUUAUGAAAGACGAACUUCUGCGAAAGCAUUUGCCAAGGAUGUUUUCAUUAAUCAAGAACGAAAGUUGGAGGCUCGAAGACGAUUAGAUACCA
rnacentral:rRNA from 1 species